AAGUCGUAACAAGGUCUCCGUUGGUGAACCAGCGGAGGGAUCAUUAAUGAGUUUUCUAAACUCCAAACCCUUGAGAACAUACCUAGUUGCCUCGGCGGACUUGCCCUGGGACGACCUACCCUGCAGCGAGUUACCCUGUAACGAGUUGCCCUGUAGAGACCUGCCCUGUAGCCUGCCCGCCGGCGGCCAACCUAAACUCUGUUUUAUUGUGGCACUUCUGAGGAUUAUUCUAAAUGAAUUAAAACUUUCAACAACGGAUCUCUUGGUUCUG
rnacentral:misc_RNA from 2 species